rnacentral:rRNA from 1 species
UUAUUGGAGAGUUUGAUCCUGGCUCAGGACGAACGCUGGCGGCGUGCCUAAUACAUGCAAGUCGAGCGAGUCUCUUCGGAGGCUAGCGGCGGACGGGUGAGUAACACGUAGGCAACCUGCCCAUAAGACUGGGAUAACAUAGGGAAACUUAUGCUAAUACCGGAUAGAGUCUUCUCCCGCAUGAGAGAAGACGGAAAG